UUGAUACCAGAUGAUAUGGAGUUUCAAACCGGAGAUAUGCCUAAUUACACAACUUCAGACGGAUCUGUUAAAAUUCAGAAAGAAAGUGAAGUUAGGCUGAAGAUUAUUGGAACUCGAGUUGAUGCUACAGAAAUUUUCUGUAUUGGCACCAUAAAGGACGACUUCUUGGGUGUAAUCAGUGAUCCAGGCGCAACUUCCUGAAUUGAAAGCUGGGCUUAUUUUGGAUCUUCAAACACACUCUCUGGCUAUUACAUUGAGCAUUUUAUGCUAUAAUGAAUUAUGAUUUGAACAAAUACUGAUGUUUAUGCUGUAGGGAUAUGUAUGUGACAGUUUAUUUAAACUGAAUGAUUUGAGUGCUUGAUGAGAUCUCAUGUUCAAUGAUCUGUCUCUUUAUAUCAAAGCUCACAUUGCUUUCUUAGUGGGGUUAUUGUUCAACAGAGAAUCCUUCUUAUCUACAGAACUAAAUAUAUUCGACGUGGAAUUUGUGCU